GGAUCAGAGGAGUAAGGAAGGGUGUUCUGAUUAAAGGAGCUUGAUAGGCUGCAUUUGCUGGACCGGAGAAGUGUAACAUUAAGCACUGUUUGAAGGAAGAGAGGAAGCAUUUCUUUCUGAGUGGCCUGGUGAAAGAGUUGAAGGCUGUCAAGCUGCAGGAUCCAGCAAGUUGAAGAGCCAGGUGCUUGAUGGAUUAGUCUACAUUUACGGACAAUUGGUUUUGUUUAUAUGGAGGGAGAGGAGAGAAAUUGGCUACAUGCUAGAGAGAAAUUGAGGUAGUAACUGCACUCUACAGGAUGAGUCUGAAAUAGCCAGAAUUUGAUGAUCUUCCAGGCACACUGCAAAAGUAUCCCCUGGAGAAGUUUGGGGAGAGGGCUUGAGAGCAUGAUUCCCAGAAUGAUGAAGCAGUGGAAAGCACUGGAGUGUGUGAGAGAGAUCAUCCUGAGGAGAGUCUCACGGGCAGAGAGAGCGC